rnacentral:rRNA from 1 species
ACCAGACUCCUACGGGAGGCAGCAGUGGGGAAUAUUGCACAAUGGGGGAAACCCUGAUGCAGCGACGCCGCGUGAGUGAAGAAGUCAUUCGUGAUGUAAAGCUCUAUCAGCAGGGAAGAAAAUGACGGUACCUGACCAAGAAGCCCCGGCUAACUACGUGCCAGCAGCCGCGGUAAUACGUAGGGGGCAAGCGUUAUCCGGAUUUACUGGGUGUAAAGGGAGCGUAGACGGUGAUGCAAGUCAGAAGUGAAAGCCCGCGGCUCAACUGCGGGACUGCUUUUGAAACUGUAUGACUGGAGUGCAGGAGAGGUAAGCGGAAUUCCUAGUGUAGCGGUGAAAUGCGUAGAUAUUAGGAGGAACACCAGUGGCGAAGGCGGGUUCCUGGACAUUAACUGACGCUGAGGCACGAAGGCCAGGGGAGCGAAAGGGAUUAGAUACCCGAGUA